rnacentral:rRNA from 1 species
UACGUAGGGUGCAAGCGUUGUCCGGAAUUAUUGGGCGUAAAGAGCUCGUAGGCGGUUUGUCGCGUCGGCUGUGAAAACCCGGGGCUCAACCCCGGGCCUGCAGUCGAUACGGGCAAACUAGAGUGCGGUAGGGGAGACUGGAAUUCCUGGUGUAGCGGUGAAAUGCGCAGAUAUCAGGAGGAACACCGGUGGCGAAGGCGGGUCUCUGGGCAGUAACUGACGCUGAGGAGCGAAAGCGUGGGGAGCGAACAGG